UGCUAAGGUAGCAUAAUAAUUAGCCUUAUAAUUAAAGGAUAGAAUGAAAGGAUACACGACUUAUCAAUUUUUCCAUUCAAUAAAAACUAACUUUAUUUAAAAGUAAAAAAGCUUUUAUACAUCAGAAAGACGACAAGACCCUAUUGAACUUUACUAAUAGUUAGCUGGGGAGGCUAAAAACUAUAUCUUAACUUCAUAUCAUAAUAUAGACCUAAAUAAUUUAAUCAUAAAAACAAGUUACCAUAGGGAUAACAGCGCAAUUUUACUAAAGAGAAAUAUCCAAAGUAAAGAUUACGACCUCGAUGUUGAAUUAAUUUAACUUCACAAAAUAAAAAAUGUCAAAGUAAGUCCGUUCGACUUAUAAAAUAUUACAUGAUUUGAGUUCAGACCGGUGUAAGCCAGGUCAGAUUUUAUCUUCUUAUAAAUUAUUAUAGUACGAAAGGACCUAAUAAAUAAUAUAA
rnacentral:rRNA from 1 species